rnacentral:rRNA from 2 species
GGGUUGUGAGGUUAAGCGACUAAGCGUACACGGUGGAUGCCCUGGCAGUCAGAGGCGAUGAAGGGCGUGCUAAUCUGCGAUAAGCGCCGGUAAGGUGAUAUGAACCGUUAUAACCGGCGAUACCCGAAUGGGGAAACCCAGUGUGAUUCGUCACACUAUCAUUAACUGAAUCCAUAGGUUAAUGAGGCGAACCGGGGGAACUGAAACAUCUAAGUACCCCGAGGAAAAGAAAUCAACCGAGAUUCCCCCAGUAGCGGCGAGCGAACGGGGAGGAGCCCAGAGCCUGAAUCAGCAUGUGUGUUAGUGGAAGCGUCUGGAAAGGCGCGCGAUACAGGGUGACAGCCCCGUACACAAAAGCGCAUGUGCUGUGAGCUCGAUGAGUAGGGCGGGACACGUGGUAUCCUGUCUGAAUAUGGGGGGACCAUCCUCCAAGGCUAAAUACUCCUGACUGACCGAUAGUGAACCAGUACCGUGAGGGAAAGGCGAAAAGAACCCCGGCGAGGGGAGUGAAAAAGAACCUGAAACCGUGUACGUACAAGCAGUGGGAGCCUCUUUUAUGGGGUGACUGCGUACCUUUUGUAUAAUGGGUCAGCGACUUAUAUUCUGUAGCAAGGUUAACCGUAUAGGGGAGCCGGAGGGAAACCGAGUCUUAACCGGGCGUUAAGUUGCAGGGUAUAGACCCGAAACCCGGUGAUCUAGCCAUGGGCAGGUUGAAGGUUGGGUAACACUAACUGGAGGACCGAACCGACUAAUGUUGAAAAAUUAGCGGAUGACCUGUGGCUGGGGGUGAAAGGCCAAUCAAACCGGGAGAUAGCUGGUUCUCCCCGAAAGCUAUUUAGGUAGCGCCUCGUGAAUUCAUCUCCGGGGGUAGAGCACUGUUUCGGCUAGGGGGCCAUCCCGGCUUACCAACCCGAUGCAAACUGCGAAUACCGGAGAAUGUUAUCACGGGAGACACACGGCGGGUGCUAACGUCCGUCGUGAAGAGGGAAACAACCCAGACCGCCAGCUAAGGUCCCAAAGUCAUGGUUAAGUGGGAAACGAUGUGGGAAGGCCCAGACAGCCAGGAUGUUGGCUUAGAAGCAGCCAUCAUUUAAAGAAAGCGUAAUAGCUCACUGGUCGAGUCGGCCUGCGCGGAAGAUGUAACGGGGCUAAACCAUGCACCGAAGCUGCGGCAGCGACGCUGAUGCGUUGUUGGGUAGGGGAGCGUUCUGUAAGCCUGCGAAGGUGGCCUGUGAGGGUUGCUGGAGGUAUCAGAAGUGCGAAUGCUGACAUAAGUAACGAUAAAGCGGGUGAAAAGCCCGCUCGCCGGAAGACCAAGGGUUCCUGUCCAACGUUAAUCGGGGCAGGGUGAGUCGACCCCUAAGGCGAGGCCGAAAGGCGUAGUCGAUGGGAAACGGGUUAAUAUUCCCGUACUUGGUGUUACUGCGAAGGGGGGACGGAGAAGGCUAUGUUGGCCGGGCGACGGUUGUCCCGGUUUAAGCGUGUAGGUGUGUGUUCCAGGUAAAUCCGGUUCACUUUAACACUGAGGCGUGACGACGAGGCACUACGGUGCUGAAGCAACAAAUGCCCUGCUUCCAGGAAAAGCCUCUAAGCAUCAGGUAACAUCAAAUCGUACCCCAAACCGACACAGGUGGUCAGGUAGAGAAUACCAAGGCGCUUGAGAGAACUCGGGUGAAGGAACUAGGCAAAAUGGUGCCGUAACUUCGGGAGAAGGCACGCUGACAUGUAGGUGAAGUGAUUUACUCAUGGAGCUGAAGUCAGUCGAAGAUACCAGCUGGCUGCAACUGUUUAUUAAAAACACAGCACUGUGCAAACACGAAAGUGGACGUAUACGGUGUGACGCCUGCCCGGUGCCGGAAGGUUAAUUGAUGGGGUCAGCGCAAGCGAAGCUCCUGAUCGAAGCCCCGGUAAACGGCGGCCGUAACUAUAACGGUCCUAAGGUAGCGAAAUUCCUUGUCGGGUAAGUUCCGACCUGCACGAAUGGCGUAAUGAUGGCCAGGCUGUCUCCACCCGAGACUCAGUGAAAUUGAACUCGCUGUGAAGAUGCAGUGUACCCGCGGCAAGACGGAAAGACCCCGUGAACCUUUACUAUAGCUUGACACUGAACAUUGAGCCUUGAUGUGUAGGAUAGGUGGGAGGCUUUGAAGUGUGGACGCCAGUCUGCAUGGAGCCGACCUUGAAAUACCACCCUUUAAUGUUUGAUGUUCUAACGUGGACCCGUUACCCGGGUUGCGGACAGUGUCUGGUGGGUAGUUUGACUGGGGCGGUCUCCUCCUAAAGAGUAACGGAGGAGCACGAAGGUUGGCUAAUCCUGGUCGGACAUCAGGAGGUUAGUGCAAUGGCAUAAGCCAGCUUGACUGCGAGCGUGACGGCGCGAGCAGGUGCGAAAGCAGGUCAUAGUGAUCCGGUGGUUCUGAAUGGAAGGGCCAUCGCUCAACGGAUAAAAGGUACUCCGGGGAUAACAGGCUGAUACCGCCCAAGAGUUCAUAUCGACGGCGGUGUUUGGCACCUCGAUGUCGGCUCAUCACAUCCUGGGGCUGAAGUAGGUCCCAAGGGUAUGGCUGUUCGCCAUUUAAAGUGGUACGCGAGCUGGGUUUAGAACGUCGUGAGACAGUUCGGUCCCUAUCUGCCGUGGGCGCUGGAGAACUGAGGGGGGCUGCUCCUAGUACGAGAGGACCGGAGUGGACGCAUCACUGGUGUUCGGGUUGUCAUGCCAAUGGCACUGCCCGGUAGCUAAAUGCGGAAGAGAUAAGUGCUGAAAGCAUCUAAGCACGAAACUUGCCCCGAGAUGAGUUCUCCCUGAGACUUAGAGUCUCCUGAAGGAACGUUGAAGACGACGACGUUGAUAGGCCGGGUGUGUAAGCGCAGCGAUGCGUUGAGCUAACCGGUACUAAUGAACCGUGAGGCUUAACCUUACAACGCCGAAG